AUGAAAACUGAUUUGACUGCUGCUUCCUUGUUGGGUUCUUGCACAGCUUUGAGCAACAUUUUGUUGUGAUCUUUGGAGAUCACGUUCAAAAGGCCAAUGCAGUUCGUACGGCAAAAUAUCACAUUUAACACAGGGAAACACCCAAUUGGCUGUAAUAACCCAACUGCUACCUUUUUUAUCCCUAAGCUGUGAAUGCGUUUAAGAUUUACAGACAUUUGCUUCACAAGGGAUUCCAUGAAGCCUGGGAGGUGAUAACGACAAGCGCAGAGAGACACUUGACAAGGAAGAUAAAUUAAAAAAGGGAAAAUUGAAUGAGAAAAGAGAUGUCAAUUGGUUGUGCUUGUGCGUGAGCUGAUGAAAGUUGUGUUCAUUAACAGAUAUAUGAUUUUACUAGAGAUUGGAUGGCUGAUAGUAGCACACAAAUGGUGGAAGUGGCACCUGAGAUGACAUAUAGAAUCCAUAAACUUCUCAGCUUCAAACUGUCUGUAUCAUCGGAGGUCACGUUGGAGCAUGAUGCCGGUGAGGUAAUCAACCACUUCUCUUCCAAUCUCUUCAGCUCUGCUUUUUCUGAGAGAUGUAAUAUAGCUUUUGACACGUCUCUGGCCACUGGCGAGCCUUUCUGGAACAUCUGCAUUAGAUUAUUUGAAAAUUCUGUCAUAACUUAAUGAGUAAUACUAAACUCCAUAAACAUUUUGUAUUCAUCCAUCCGAGUAAGUAUGUAAAACUGUGUCAACAAAAUCUAUAGCAAAAUUGUCUGAUUCCCUAACAUUGUAUUUGUUGAGAUUGAAAAUCAUAGCCCAAACAUAAAAGAAAAAUUGCACAAACACACAACUGCAUAUGCACGCACGCGCACAUACUAUGGAUUUAAAUUUGUUUAACGUAUUACCAAAGCUUCUAGAUAUAUCUAAUGAUGGGUGAAAUAGAAUGAUAUGUUAUGAUUCACCAAAAUAAAAAGAAUGAUAUUUUAUGAUGGAACUUCCAUACCAUAUGUUAUGAUAUUUUCUCUUUU